GGCGGGAUGGCAGAGCGGACGAUUGCAGCGGUCUUGAAAACCGCAGUGGGCGCAAGUUCACCGGGGUUCGAAUCCCUCUCCUCCGCCU
rnacentral:tRNA from 1 species